rnacentral:tRNA from 1 species
GUGGCUGUAGCUUAUUUGGUAAAGUACCUCACUGUGAAUGAGGGGAACAGGGUUCGAACCCCGCAGCGCACC